rnacentral:rRNA from 1 species
UACGUAGGGACCAAGCGUUAUCCGGAAUUAUUGGGCGUAAAGAGCUCGUAGGCGGUUUGUCGCGUCUGCCGUGAAAGUCCGGGGCUCAACUCCGGAUCUGCGGUGGGUACGGGCAGACUAGAGUGAUGUAGGGGAGACUGGAAUUCCUGGUGUAGCGGUGAAAUGCGCAGAUAUCAGGAGGAACACCGAUGGCGAAGGCAGGUCUCUGGGCAUUAACUGACGCUGAGGAGCGAAAGCAUGGGGAGCGAACAGG